rnacentral:tRNA from 1 species
GGGGGCGUAGCCCAAUUGGCAGAGGCAGGGCGCUUAAACCGCCUCCAGUGAGGGUUCGAGUCCCUCCGCCCCUACCG